rnacentral:rRNA from 1 species
GUGGGGAAUCUUGCGCAAUGGGCGAAAGCCUGACGCAGCCAUGCCGCGUGGAUGAUGAAGGUCUUAGGAUUGUAAAAUUCUUUCACCGGGGACGAUAAUGACGGUACCCGGAGAAGAAGCCCCGGCUAACUUCGUGCCAGCAGCCGCGGUAAUACGAAGGGGGCUAGCGUUGCUCGGAAUUACUGGGCGUAAAGGGCGCGUAGGCGGAUCGUUAAGUCAGGGGUGAAAUCCCAGAGCUCAACUCUGGAACUGCCCUUGAUACUGGCGAUCUUGAGUGUGAGAGAGGUAUGUGGAACUCCGAGUGUAGAGGUGAAAUUCGUAGAUAUUCGGAAGAACACCAGUGGCGAAGGCGACAUACUGGCUCAUUACUGACGCUGAGGCGCGAAAGCGUGGGGAGCAAACAGGAUUAGAAACCCCUGUAGUCC